ACAAGGGCUAUCUCUAUGAGCUAAACAAUUAUAGCAGAGGACACAAUCAAAUUCAGAGGAUCAACAAAUUGUCAAGCACACAUGCUACAACCAUCAAUUUAUGUGAUAUUAACCAUCUAACUCUGCAAUGUUCACACACUGGUUUCCGUCAUCUAUAAGAUUUUGUUUCCAUUA